rnacentral:rRNA from 1 species
UACAGAGGGGGCAAGCGUUGUUCGGAAUUACUGGGCGUAAAGGGCGCGUAGGCGGCCUGCUAAGUCGAACGUGAAAUUCCUGGGCUCAACCCAGGAACUGCGUCCGAUACUGGUUGGCUUGAAUCCGGGAGAGGGAUGUGGAAUUCCAGGUGUAGCGGUGAAAUGCGUAGAUAUCUGGAGGAACACCGGUGGCGAAGGCGGGUCUCUGGGCAAUAACUGACGCUGAGGAGCGAAAGCGUGGGGAGCGAACAGG